rnacentral:rRNA from 1 species
CCAGCAGCCGCGGUAAUUCCAGCUCCAAUAGCGUAUAUUAAAGUUGUUGCAGUUAAAAAGCUCGUAGUUGAACCUUGGGCCUGGCUGGCCGGUCCGCCUCACCGCGUGCACUGGUUCGGCCGGGCCUUUCCCUCUGGGGAACCGCAUGCCCUUCACUGGGUGUGUCGGGGAACCAGGACUUUUACUGUGAAAAAAUUAGAGUGUUCAAAGCAGGCCUAUGCUCGAAUACAUUAGCAUGGAAUAAUAGAAUAGGACGUGUGGUUCUAUUUUGUUGGUUUCUAGGACCGCCGUAAUGAUUAAUAGGGACAGUCGGGGGCGUCAGUAUUCCAUUGUCAGAGGUGAAAUUCUUGGAUUUAUGGAAGACUAACUACUGCGAAAGCAUUCGCCA